rnacentral:rRNA from 1 species
GGGGAAUAUUGCACAAUGGGCGCAAGCCUGAUGCAGCGACGCCGCGUGAGGGAUGGAGGCCUUCGGGUUGUAAACCUCUUUUAUCGGGGAGCAAGCGAGAGUGAGUUUACCCGUUGAAUAAGCACCGGCUAACUACGUGCCAGCAGCCGCGGUAAUACGUAGGGUGCAAGCGUUAUCCGGAAUUAUUGGGCGUAAAGGGCUCGUAGGCGGUUCGUCGCGUCCGGUGUGAAAGUCCAUCGCUUAACGGUGGAUCCGCGCCGGGUACGGGCGGGCUUGAGUGCGGUAGGGGAGACUGGAAUUCCCGGUGUAACGGUGGAAUGUGUAGAUAUCGGGAAGAACACCAAUGGCGAAGGCAGGUCUCUGGGCCGUUACUGACGCUGAGGAGCGAAAGCGUGGGGAGCGAAC